ACCCGAAUUUGCCCUCGGAACAGGCGCCGCUCAUGUUCUUACAAGAAACACGCUAACGUGCUCGCCUUCUUAGUUCAGUGGCUAGAAUUUU